rnacentral:snoRNA from 1 species
GCUGUGAUGAUUCUCCUUUUGGCGUGUUAGACUGCUGAAGCAGAUGACGAGAUACAGAAUCUGAGC